GGUGAACGCUGGCGGUGUGCCUAAUACAUGCAAGUCGAACGACAGCACAGUAAGAGUGUGCUCUUACGGGUGGCGGGGGGCGGGCGGGUGAGGAGUAGAUAGGAAUCUACUAUUUCGGGGGGGAUAACGGAGGAAAGGAGAUGCUAAUAGCUCAUAUGUUCUACGGCUGGAAGCAGUGGUUCUUGGCAGCUUUGGCGUUUGUUAUAGCCGGUGCCGGAUUAGCUAGUUGGGGAGGUAACGGCCCACCAAGGCAACGAUGCGUAGCUGGCCUGAGAGGAUGAUCAGCCACACUGGAACUGAGACACGGUCCAGACUCCUACGGGAGGCAGCAGUGGGGAAUAUUGCACAAUGGGCGAAAGCCUGAUGCAGCCAUACCGCGUGAGUGAAGAAGGCCUUCGGGUCGUAAAGCUCUUUUGUUGGGAAAGAAAAAAAGCGGAUGAAUCUACCCCCGUUCUGACGGUACCCAAAGAAAAAGCACCGGCUAACUUCGUG
rnacentral:rRNA from 1 species